rnacentral:misc_RNA from 1 species
GAUGAAGAACGUAGCGAAAUGCGAUACGUAAUGUGAAUUGCAGAAUUCAGUGAAUCAUCGAGUCUUUGAACGCACAUUGCGCCCCCUGGUAUUCCGGGGGGCAUGCCUGUCCGAGCGUCAUUGCUGCCCUCAAGCACGGCUUGUGUGUUGGGCCCCCGUCCCCCCCCAAGGGGACGGUCCCGAAAGGCAGCGGCGGCACCGUGUCCGGUCCUCGAGCGUAUGGGAAGCAACUUUUUUUGUCACCCGCUCCUGUAGGUCCGGCCGGCGGCCUGCCCAACCCCAACCUUUUUACUUUAACCAGGUUGACCUCGGAUCAGGUAGGGAUACCCGCUGAACUUAAGCAUAUCAAUAAGCGGAGGA